UUGGCGGCGCUGGGAGGCCGGAGCCCAGGGCUCGUGGCCAUGUUGUCAGGUGCUCACAGGUAGACAGCAGAGGAGAGGAACCAAGCUAUACUCAAUCUUAAAGCAGCAGGAUGGUCAGAAUUAAGUGAGAGAGAGAUGCCAUCUACAAAUCAUUCUUCUUCUUUAAUCAGGCAUUUGGCUUUAUGUCCCGAGUUGCCCUACAAGCAGAGAAGAUGAAUCAUCACCCGGAAUGGUUCAAUGUAUAAAACAAGGUCCAGAUAACUCUCACCUCACGUAACUGUGGUGGACUGAUCAAAAGAGAUGUGAAGCUGGCCACGUUUAUUGAAAAAGCAGCUUCUUCUGUG
rnacentral:lncRNA from 1 species